rnacentral:sRNA from 1 species
GGGGCAGGAAGGUGCGCCCCAAGUAGGAGGGAUCCUACUUGGGCGCCUCCUCCAAGUCGGCCUCCCCCCUUCCAUACGCAUUGGAGGGGGGAAGGAAAAAGAGGGGGGAGGAAAGGGGGAGGCCGAAUCCUCCCCUUUCCUU